AGUUUAUCUGAUGACAUUAGCUUAAAUUGGUGCUUUGUUUUUUUUUUUGCUCAUAUCCGUCCAAUGUCCAAUGUCGAUUAUCUAAUAUUCAGAAAGUU
rnacentral:snoRNA from 1 species